CAGUAGCCACGGUAAUACGUAGGGUGCGAGCGUUAAUCGGAAUUACUGGGCGUAAAGCGUGCGCAGGCGGUUUUGUAAGACAGGCGUGAAAUCCCCGGGCUCAACCUGGGAAUGGCGCUUGUGACUGCAAAGCUAGAGUGCGGCAGAGGGGGAUGGAAUUCCGCGUGUAGCAGUGAAAUGCGUAGAUAUGCGGAGGAACACCGACGGCGAAGGCAAUCCCCUGGGCCUGCACUGACGCUCAUGCACGAAAGCGUGGGGAGCAAACAGGAUUAGAUACCCGUGUAGUCCCUGUCUCUUAUAC
rnacentral:rRNA from 1 species